GAGGGAGAGAGGAGAGAGGGAGAGAGAGAGAAAGAGAGAGAGAGAGGAGGGGGAGGAGAAGAGAGAGGCCCUGCUUUUUCGAAUCUGGAAUCAUUAAAUGACUCGACUAGGGUUUAAAUCGACUGUCUUCCAUGGCGAUUCGUGCCUGGGCGAAGCAGAGAUUUUCCCCACUGAGAAAAACCCUAGUUUCCAAUUCCCAAACAACGAAAUUCGCAUCAAUCAUUUCUCUCCGCCAAGUGAUCGCUGCCCACCGCUCUCGAUUCUCCAGACAAUCUCCCCUUUUGCCGUCCGAUGCAAGCUCGAAUCAAAAUCACCGCCAUUGAAUUGCCUACACACGUCAUGCUUCCAAGAACUCAAGACAGCAGUAGUUGUGCAUGGAGAUGAAGAAGUGCAUUUGGUAGCAAUGCAGAGUAGGCAGGACAAGAUUCCUGGCUUCUUCUGGUGCUGUGCGGUUCCGCUUGGUCUCUAUGGUUCUUGCAAGGGGAUGCUGAAUCCCCGGUGCCUCGCAAUCGUGUUCGAUCUCGACGAGACGCUCAUAGUUGCGAACACGAUGAAAUCAUUCGAGGAUAGGAUCGAGUUCCUCCAACGCAGGAUUGCCUGCGAAACUGAUGGCCUUCGAGCUUCGGGCAUGAAGGCAGAGCUCAAGCGAUACUUGGAUGAUAAAGCUCUCUUGAAGCAGUACUCAGAGAAUGACCAUGUCAAUGAUAAUGGGAAACUGAUCAAGAUUCAGCUUGAGGAGGUUCCUCCGAUUGCUGGUAGCCCAGAACCAGUCAUUCGGCCAAUUAUAAGGUUGCAAGACAGGAAUAUCGUCUUAACUCGCAUUAAUCCAGAGGUUCGUGAUACAAGUGUCCUUGUGAGGCUUCGGCCUGCUUGGGAAGAUUUGAGGAGUUAUUUAACUGCCAAAGGGCGCAAACGCUUUGAGGUUUAUGUUUGCACGAUGGCUGAAAGAGAUUAUGCUUUGGAGAUGUGGAGGCUUCUGGACCCAGAAGCAAACCUAAUAAGCUCAAAGCAACUUCUGGAUCGCGUUGUAUGUGUCAAAUCAGACUCUAGGAAGUCAUUGUUGAAUGUUUUUCAAGAUGGUAUCUGCCAUCCAAAAAUGGCGAUGGUGAUCGAUGACCGCCUGAAGGUUUGGGAUGACAAGGAUCAACCUCGAGUACACGUUGUUCCUCCCUUCACUCCAUAUUAUGCACCUCAGGCUGAGACGGCGAAUGCUGUUCCAGUGUUGUGUGUUGCAAGAAACGUUGCAUGCAAUGUCAGAGGUGGAUUUUUCAAAGAAUUUGAUGAAAAACUGCUGCGAAGAAUAUCCGAAUUUUGUUAUGAAGAUGAAGUACUAGAUUUACCUCCUGCACCUGAUGUGAGCAAUUACUUAAUGACAGAGGAUACUGGUGUCAUGCCAAAUGGAAAUAGAGACAUUCCUGUUCCCGAAGGCAUGAGUGGUGCUGAAGCUGAACGAAGAAUGAAUCGACCGGAUCAGAAGCUUGGUGUGGAAGCCAGCUUACCUUUCGUCAUGAACAGUCCUGAUUCGAGGUCUGAACUCUCUCAACAACCUUUGGCCAUCACAUCUAAUUUUAUAACCCCAUCAGUGUCUAGAACGACUAUACCUUCACAGAGACCUGGUUUGUUGGGAGCUUCUCCAAAAGAGGCAGAGGCCUCCCAGUCGGAAUUAGAUCCUAUCAUGAGGAGAAGACUCCUCGCUCUGCAGCAUGGCCCAGAUAUGCCGGGAAGUAGCUUAAUUGAUCCUUCUUUUAGAUCAAGACCACCUGCAAGGAUGUCAGCAUCGCCCAUACAACUAAAUGGAGGCUGGUUUGUUGCCGAUGAAGACGUCAAUGCUGGGCAACUUAUUAAGCGAUCUUCAGGGGCGACUCAAGAAUCUGAUGCAUUACAACCUGAUAAGCAUCGAACUAUUUCUAAUCCUCCUAAUCAUAGUGCAGAAACUUCCAUUCCCUUCGACAAAUCCCAUCCUGUGUCUGGAGUGAAAGCUGAAGAGGCAUGUCUUGUAGAUGAACGGCAAAGGCAAAAUCAAGUACACCCAAGUAAUUCUUCCAUUUCAGAAGAUGAUGAGGUAUCCUUGAAUCGGCCAUCCGUUAACAAUGGUGAGCUUCAUAUUGAAGUGACUCCACAACCUUCUGUGUAUAUAGGAGUACUGCAAGAAAUUGGACGGAGGUGUGCCUCAAAGGUUGAGUUCAAAUCUGUUAUCAGCACCAGCAAGGAUCUGCAGUUCUCUUUUGAGGUACUCUUCAGUGGGGAAAAGAUAGGGGUUGGGAUUGGUAGAACACGGAAGGAAGCUCAAUUCCAAGCUGCUAAAAAUGCUCUUCGGAACUUGGCCAGCAGCUAUGUAUCACAUCUUGCACCUGACACCGUAGCUGUGGACAGAGGUUUGGAUAAGCUCUCUUCUGGAAAUGAAAAUGGAUUUUUGAGGGACGUUGCCACUCCUAUGUCAGUUGAAUUGCCUAUGAAGGAGGAACUACCCAAUGCGAGUAUGUUGGAGCAGUUGGGUAAUGGAGAUGAGUCGACAAGAUUAUCUGUUGUCACCUCUGGCAUCAAAGAUUUAUGUGUGGCAGGGGGCCUCAGUCUAUUCUUCCAAGAUCAGCCCCCAGUUACCAUGACUUUAAAUAAUGGAGAGUUUUAUUCUCAGGUUGAAAUAGCAGGAGAGGUUUUAGGAAAGGGAAUUGGUUUGAGUAAAGAGGGAGCUAAGCUGCAGGCUGCUGAGGAGGCACUAGGGAGCUUGAAAUCCAUGAUCAGUCAGCAAGCCUCGAAGCGUUCAAAUUCACCAAGGCCCUCUAAAUAGGAUGCCAAUUUUGGGGAUUUCCUGCCCUAAACAGAUUAACAUGUUCUUUGUGGCAAGAUGGGUAACAAGUUUCACCUCUUGCACUUUCUUCUUUGUAGGUCGCCGCCAACCAUUCCAAACAAGCGGUCAAAGGACGAACUCCUUCGAGGGUUUCCAGCUCUAUCACCGUCACGACAUCAAAAAAACGGGCACCCAAUUUCUUGAGAAACAGCAUAGGAAUGAAAGAAACGGCCAUUUCAACUGUACAGUGGUAACAAUUUUGAGGUUUAUAGGUCAACAGCAACAUAACGUGGCAUGCAUCUCUUCCAGUUCGAGGCUAUCUACCUGAUAUCCUUUUGAAGUAAAUCGGGAUAUUCCUUCUAUUCAGAAGUUUUUCCUUUUGUCAAUACAAUAUAUAGUUUUGGAAUGCCCCAUGUUCUACUGUAGCUUCUUCAGAAACUGUUCAAGUCAGUGUUUUUCUUAAACAAGUUAUUGUUAUAUAAUUGUCUCCUCUGUGUGAGUAUAGUUCAAACACACAAACACACAUACAAAGAAGAAGAAAAAAAGUAGAGCUUUUGACACUCUUGAACGGAUGAUACUCAUUUACCUGCCUCUUGAAUCCAAUGGAGAUUGUUUAUUGCCAUAAAAGAAUAUGACUAGUUUCUGCUUGAGCCA